GUCAAGUCCGUUUCUGCUCGUGCGCGUGUUUUUUUUAACAAUUUUUGUUUCAAACAAUAUAGAUAAUUAAUUAAAAUUCCGAUCUGUGAAACCACAGAUUGGAAAUUUAUUUCAAUUAGCUAUUGUUUAAAACAAAAAAUGUAAACAAAACACGCGCAUGAGCAGAACGGGCUUGAC